rnacentral:rRNA from 1 species
UGCUGGAGGUAUCAGAAGUGCGAAUGCUGACAUAAGUAACGAUAAAGCGGGUGAAAAGCCCGCUCGCCGGAAGACCAAGGGUUCCUGUCCAACGUUAAUCGGGGCAGGGUGAGUCGACCCCUAAGGCGAGGCCGAAAGGCGUAGUCGAUGGGAAACGGGUUAAUAUUCCCGUACUUGGUGUUACUGCGAAGGGGGGACGGAGAAGGCUAUGUUGGCCGGGCGACGGUUGUCCCGGUUUAAGCGUGUAGGUGUGUGUUCCAGGUAAAUCCGGUUCACUUUAACACUGAGGCGUGACGACGAGGCACUACGGUGCUGAAGCAACAAAUGCCCUGCUUCCAGGAAAAGCCUCUAAGCAUCAGGUAACAUCAAAUCGUACCCCAAACCGACACAGGUGGUCAGGUAGAGAAUACCAAGGCGCUUGAGAGAACUCGGGUGAAGGAACUAGGCAAAAUGGUGCCGUAACUUCGGGAGAAGGCACGCUGACACGUAGGUGAAGUGAUUUACUCAUGGAGCUGAAGUCAGUCGAAGAUACCAGCUGGCUGCAACUGUUUAUUAAAAACACAGCACUGUGCAAACACGAAAGUGGACGUAUACGGUGUGACGCCUGCCCGGUGCCGGAAGGUUAAUUGAUGGGGUCAGCGCAAGCGAAGCUCCUGAUCGAAGCCCCGGUAAACGGCGGCCGUAACUAUAACGGUCCUAAGGUAGCGAAAUUCCUUGUCGGGUAAGUUCCGACCUGCACGAAUGGCGUAAUGAUGGCCAGGCUGUCUCCACCCGAGACUCAGUGAAAUUGAACUCGCUGUGAAGAUGCAGUGUACCCGCGGCAAGACGGAAAGACCCCGUGAACCUUUACUAUAGCUUGACACUGAACAUUGAGCCUUGAUGUGUAGGAUAGGUGGGAGGCUUUGAAGCGUGGACGCCAGUCUGCGUGGAGCCGACCUUGAAAUACCACCCUUUAAUGUUUGAUGUUCUAACGUGGACCCGUGAUCCGGGUUGCGGACAGUGUCUGGUGGGUAGUUUGACUGGGGCGGUCUCCUCCUAAAGAGUAACGGAGGAGCACGAAGGUUGGCUAAUCCUGGUCGGACAUCAGGAGGUUAGUGCAAUGGCAUAAGCCAGCUUGACUGCGAGCGUGACGGCGCGAGCAGGUGCGAAAGCAGGUCAUAGUGAUCCGGUGGUUCUGAAUGGAAGGGCCAUCGCUCAACGGAUAAAAGGUACUCCGGGGAUAACAGGCUGAUACCGCCCAAGAGUUCAUAUCGACGGCGGUGUUUGGCACCUCGAUGUCGGCUCAUCACAUCCUGGGGCUGAAGUAGGUCCCAAGGGUAUGGCUGUUCGCCAUUUAAAGUGGUACGCGAGCUGGGUUUAGAACGUCGUGAGACAGUUCGGUCCCUAUCUGCCGUGGGCGCUGGAGAACUGAGGGGGGCUGCUCCUAGUACGAGAGGACCGGAGUGGACGCAUCACUGGUGUUCGGGUUGUCAUGCCAAUGGCACUGCCCGGUAGCUAAAUGCGGAAGAGAUAAGUGCUGAAAGCAUCUAAGCACGAAACUUGCCCCGAGAUGAGUUCUCCCUGAGACUUUAGGUCUCCUGAAGGAACGUUGAAGACGACGACGUUGAUAGGCCGGGUGUGUAAGCGCAGCGAUGCGUUGAGCUAACCGGUACUAAUGAACCGUGAGGCUUAACCUUACAACGCCGAAG